ACAACAAGAAUAAAAAUGUGCAGUAACCCAAUAAAAACAAGACGUAUCGGCUCUGACAUAACAAAAACAACACGGACAGAGGCGCAGCUAACAGAUUUUUUUGGAGUGGAUAGCUUUUCUGAGGAGCUUGCAAGAGAUCCUCGCAACCGGGCGAAAGAACAACAAAACUACCCUGAGGUAGCGCCAGACCUGGUUGGAUCGAUGAGAUAGAAGCCGCAUCAGCGCUCAAAAAAAUACGUUUGCUCUUGAUCCCUAAUGGGAUCGCUUAAAACAGCGGUAAGGGUACGGCCACCAAAAACAACAACAGGCCGCCCAACAAUAAAAAAGAGCAUCGCGAAAUACCUUGAAGGGGAGCCCAGGCUCCCCUUCGUGCUGUCUGGGGGGUGGGGUUUUAGGCGGAA
rnacentral:sRNA from 1 species